CCCGCUGAACUUAAGCAUAUCAAUAAGCGGAGGAAAAGAAACUAACAGGGAUUCCCCUAGUAACUGCGAGUGAAGCGGGAAGAGCUCAAAUUUGAAAUCUGGCGCCUUCGCCGUCCGAGUUGUAUUCUGGAGAAGAGUUUUCCGUGCUGGACCGUGUACAAGUCCCUUGGAACAGGGCGUCGUAGAGGGUGAGAAUCCCGUCUGUGACUCGGAGUGUCCGUGCUCUGUGAGGUCCUCCCAAAAAGCCAAGUUGUUGGGAAUUCCACCUCAAAAUGGGGGGAAAAUUCCUUCUAAAGCUAAUUAUGGCCGAGAGCCCGAUAGCCAACAAGUGCGGUGAGGGAAAAAUGAAAAGCCCUUUGAAAAGAGAGUGAACCAGAACGUGAAAUGUGUGUGAAAGGGAAGGGCUGCGAAAUCAGCUCUUGGUAUUCAAUGAUCAAUUUUCUUUCGGGCAGAUGCACUCGAUCGUUUACUGGCCCAACAUCGAUUUAGCCGGUGAGAUAAUGACAGUUGAAUGUGCCCCUCUUCGGUAAGUGUAAUAGCCUCUGUUGAUAUCAUCAGUUUAGAUCGAGGGCUGCGCAUUUCUGCUAGGAUGUUGGCGUAAUGAUUGUAAGCCACCCGUCUUGAAACACGG
rnacentral:rRNA from 1 species